GAGUUUGAUCAUGGCUCAGAUUGAACGCUGGCGGCAGGCCUAACACAUGCAAGUCGAGCGGUAGAGAGAAGCUUGCUUCUCUUGAGAGCGGCGGACGGGUGAGUAAUGCCUAGGAAUCUGCCUGGUAGUGGGGGAUAACGCUCGGAAACGGACGCUAAUACCGCAUACGUCCUACGGGAGAAAGCAGGGGACCUUCGGGCCUUGCGCUAUCAGAUGAGCCUAGGUCGGAUUAGCUAGUUGGUGAGGUAAUGGCUCACCAAGGCGACGAUCCGUAACUGGUCUGAGAGGAUGAUCAGUCACACUGGAACUGAGACACGGUCCAGACUCCUACGGGAGGCAGCAGUGGGGAAUAUUGGACAAUGGGCGAAAGCCUGAUCCAGCCAUGCCGCGUGUGUGAAGAAGGUCUUCGGAUUGUAAAGCACUUUAAGUUGGGAGGAAGGGCAGUAAUUAAUACUUUGCUGUUUGACGUUACCGACAGAAUAAGCACCGGCUAACUCUGUGCCAG
rnacentral:rRNA from 1 species